UAAGGAGGACAGACCCAGGGAACUGAAACAUCUAAGUACCUGGAGGAAGAGAAAGCAAAUGCGAUUUCCUGAGUAGCGGCGAGCGAAACGGAACAUAGCCCAAACCAAGAGGCUUGCCUCUUGGGGUUGUAGGACAUUCUAUACGGAGUUACAAAGGAACGAGGUAGACGAAGCAGUCUGGAAAGGCUCGUCAUAGAAGGUAACAACCCUGUAGUUGAAACUUCGUUCCCUCUUGAAUGAAUCCUGAGUACGGCGGAACACGUGAAAUUCCGUCGGAAUCUGGGAGGACCAUCUCCCAAGGCUAAAUACUCCCUAGUGAUCGAUAGUGAACCAGUACCGUGAGGGAAAGGUGAAAAGCACCCCGGGAGGGGAGUGAAAGAGAUCCUGAAACCGUGUGCCUACAAAUAGUCAGAGCCCGUUAACGGGUGAUGGCGUGCCUUUUGUAGAAUGAACCGGCGAGUUACGAUCCCGUGCGAGGUUAAGCUGAAGAGGCGGAGCCGUAGCGAAAGCGAGUCUGAAUAGGGCGUUUAGUACGUGGUCGUAGACCCGAAACCAGGUGAUCUACCCAUGUCCAGGGUGAAGUUCAGGUAACACUGAAUGGAGGCCCGAACCCACGCACGUUGAAAAGUGCGGGGAUGAGGUGUGGGUAGCGGAGAAAUUCCAAUCGAACCUGGAGAUAGCUGGUUCUCCCCGAAAUAGCUUUAGGGCUAGCCUCAAGUGUAAGAGUCUUGGAGGUAGAGCACUGAUUGGACUAGGGGUCCUCAUCGGAUUACCGAAUUCAGUCAAACUCCGAAUGCCAAUGACUUAUCCUUGGGAGUCAGACUGCGAGUGAUAAGAUCCGUAGUCAAAAGGGAAACAGCCCAGACCGCCAGCUAAGGUCCCAAAGUGUGUAUUAAGUGGAAAAGGAUGUGGAGUUGCUUAGACAACUAGGAUGUUGGCUUAGAAGCAGCCACCAUUUAAAGAGUGCGUAAUAGCUCACUAGUCGAGUGACUCUGCGCCGAAAAUGUACCGGGGCUAAAUACACCACCGAAGCUGCGGAUUGAUACCUUUGGUAUCAGUGGUAGGGGAGCGUUCUAAGGACAGUGAAGUCAGACCGGAAGGACUGGUGGAGUGCUUAGAAGUGAGAAUGCCGGUAUGAGUAGCGAAAGACGGGUGAGAAUCCCGUCCACCGAAUGCCUAAGGUUUCCUGAG
rnacentral:rRNA from 1 species